GAUGUCGAUAUUCGACGUCAUAAACACGAUCAACUUUGGUGUUUAUGACGUCGAUAUUCGAAGUGAUUAACACGAUCAACUUUGGUGUAUUUGAUGUCGAUAUUCGACGUCAUAAACACGAUCAACUUUGGUGUUUAUGACGUCGAUAUUCGAAGACAUAAAUACGAUCAACUGUGGUGUUGAUGACGUCGAUAUUCGACGUCAUAAACACGAUCAACUUUGGUGUUUAUGAUGUCAAUGUUCGAAGAC
rnacentral:miRNA from 1 species